AACGACUCUCGGCAACGGAUAUCUUGGCUCUCGCAUCGAUGAAGAACGCAGCAAAAUGCGAUACUUGGUGUGAAUUGCAGAAUCACGUGAAUCAUCGAGUUUUUGAACGCAAGUUGCGCCCGAAGCCUUUCGGCCGAGGGCACGUCUGCCUGGGUGUCACGC
rnacentral:rRNA from 1 species